rnacentral:rRNA from 1 species
CCUACGGGUGGCAGCAGUGAGGAAUAUUGGUCAAUGGUCGGGAGACUGAACCAGCCAAGCCGCGUGAGGGAGGAAGGUACAGAGUAUCGUAAACCUCUUUUGUCAGGGAACAAAGACUGGGACGCGUCCCCGGAUGAGUGUACCUGAAGAAAAAGCAUCGGCUAACUCCGUGCCAGCAGCCGCGGUAAUACGGAGGAGGCGAGGGUUAUCCGGAUUUAUUGGGUUUAAAGGGUGCGCAGGCGGGCGGCAAAGGCAGCGGUCAAAGCCCGGGGCGAAACCCCGGCCCGCCGUUGAAACUGGCAGUCUCGAGUUGGAGAGAGGUAUGCGGAAUGCGCGGUGUAGCGGUGAAAUGCAUAGAUAUCGCGCAGAACUCCGAUUGCGAAGGCAGCAUGCCGGCUCCACACUGACGCUGAGGCACGAAAGCGUGGGUAUCGAACAGGAUUAGAUACCCCUGUAGUC